GACGAACGCUGGCGGCGUGCCUAAUACAUGCAAGUCGAGCGAAUCUUGAGGUGCUUGCACCUCUUGGUUAGCGGCGGACGGGUGAGUAACACGUGGGCAACCUGCCUGUAAGACUGGGAUAACACCGGGAAACCGGUGCUAAUACCGGAUAAUCCUUUUCCUCUCAUGAGGAAAAGCUGAAAGUCGGUUUACGCUGACACUUACAGAUGGGCCCGCGGCGCAUUAGCUAGUUGGUGAGGUAACGGCUCACCAAGGCGACGAUGCGUAGCCGACCUGAGAGGGUGAUCGGCCACACUGGGACUGAGACACGGCCCAGACUCCUACGGGAGGCAGCAGUAGGGAGUCUUCCGCAAUGGACGAAAGUCUGACGGAGCAACACCGCGUGAGCGAUGAAGGCCUUCGGGUCGUAAAGCUCUGUUGUUAGGGAAGAACAAGUACCGGAGUAACUGCCGGUACCUUGACGGUACCUAACCAGAAAGCCACGGCUAACUACGUGCCAGCAGCCGCCGCGGUAA
rnacentral:rRNA from 1 species